CCAGGGGAAUAUUCUGGAAUGGGUCGUGAAGUUGAAAACCUCAUCUUAGAAAAUACACAGCUGCUAGAAACCAAAAAUGCCUUGAAUGUGGUGAAGAAUGACUUAAUAGCAAAAGUAGAUGAACUAAGCUGUGAGAAGGAUGUGCUAAAAGGAGAGU